GUUCCUAUUGGCCAGUCUCAAUCGAAUUGACAGCUAGGUGAGGAUCGUCUUGGGAGUCGAAUUCAACUGAAUCAUUCAUCCACCAUGGUGGAUUCACCGGCAUAGAUGCGCUGCGUUAUUUGGGAGCGGAGACUCCAAUGUUUGGGUAAGAUGGUGACACACACAAUUGAUGGGUAGCUAGCUGAGCAAGUUGGUUAUCAAAAUCAUUCCUAUAAUGAAUCCCUUUUCUCACCUAACGUUAUUUUACCGAGAUUGUGUUAUUAACUGCACUAGCCAGCUAGUGUUAACUUUACAUCUAGCUAGGUUAUCCCAUUAACGUUACUUUACUACGGUGCUUUUCUCUUCCAACAUUCCAUGUGUGGCAGGGUGAGCGCUGCUACACCUCCGCCCUUAAUUGGCAUCAGCUGGGCCUAAUUUCCAGUUGUCGGAGCCUAAUUGCGCAGUGGUGGCACCUGCGUUAUUUGGUCUUCCCCUCACGGGCGCGCUCACUUCUACCUGGCGUUUACCUGGCGAGGGCUGUGUGUGGCGUGCUCCGGUUGGCGUGCUUUGUGUGUGUCGUGCUCCGGUUUCUGUACCCAAACUUGGGACUCAUAAGCGGCGUUGGCCGUUCCUGUUGUGUGCAGCUUCGGAGGGGACUUUGAAAAGCGUGGUGUCUGCUCUUCCUCACUGCGAGACGGUGACUGGGUUUGAGCUGUGCGCUGUGCGUUAAGCUCCCUUCGCUCCGCUGAGGCCACAGCUUGUGGCUUCUUCUCCUCCUCUGUGCACUGUGUGGGGCUGCACGGUGACGUGGGCCGUCAGCUGGGCAUCCUGAAGGACGAAUAUCCACGGCCUCCAGCCCCGGUGCGGCCGCUCCGUUUUCCACUGCUGUUCUGCCGGUUUUCCACAGACUGAUUAAAGCACACUGUAACGCGGCUGUGCAUUCAUGCGGCUUUGGACCUCU